rnacentral:rRNA from 1 species
CUACGGGUCGCAGCAGUGGGGAAUAUUGCACAAUGGGCGCAAGCCUGAUGCAGCCAUGCCGCGUGUAUGAAGAAGGCCUUCGGGUUGUAAAGUACUUUCAGCGGGGAGGAAGGGAGUAAAGUUAAUACCUUUGCUCAUUGACGUUACCCGCAGAAGAAGCACCGGCUAACUCCGUGCCAGCAGCCGCGGUAAUACGGAGGGUGCAAGCGUUAAUCGGAAUUACUGGGCGUAAAGCGCACGCAGGCGGUUUGUUAAGUCAGAUGUGAAAUCCCCGGGCUCAACCUGGGAACUGCAUCUGAUACUGGCAAGCUUGAGUCUCGUAGAGGGGGGUAGAAUUCCAGGUGUAGCGGUGACAUGCGUAGAGAUCUGGAGGAAUACCGGUGACGAAGGCGGCCCCCUGGACGAAGACUGACGCUCAGGUGCGAAAGCGUGGGGAGCAAACAGGAUUAGAUACCCCCGUAGUC